rnacentral:rRNA from 1 species
UAAGGGCACGAAAGCCGUGGGGAGCGAACGGGAUUAGAUACCCCGGUAGUCCCACGCCGUAAACUAUGGAUGCUAGCUGUUAGAGGUAUCGACCCCUUUAGUAGCGAAGCUAACGCGUUAAGCAUCCCGCCUGUGGAGUACGAGCGCAAGCUUAAAACAUAAAGGAAUUGACGGGGACCCGCACAAGCGGUGGAGCGUGUUGUUUAAUUCGACGAUAAGCGAAGAACCUUACCCAGGCUUGACAUCCUAGGAAGGUCUCCGAAAGGAGACUGUGCCUUGUGAGCCUAGUGACAGGUGUUGCAUGGCCGUCGUCAGCUCGUGUCGUGAGAUGUUUGGUUAAGUCCAUCAACGAGCGCAACCCUUAUAGUUAGUUGAAUUUUUCUAGCUUGACUGCCCUGGUAACAGGGAGGAAGGAGGGGAUGAUGUCAGGUCAGUAUUACCCUUACGCCUGGGGCCACAAACACGCUACAAUGGCCGGUACAAAGGGCAGCCAACCCGC